rnacentral:rRNA from 1 species
AGCAGCCGCGGUAAUUCCAGCUCCAAUAGCGUAUAUUAAAGUUGUUGCAGUUAAAAAGCUCGUAGUUGAAUUUCGGGAUCAAUAUAUGUUGGUCGUGCCUUGGUACGUACUGGCAUUAUUGGUUUCUACCUUCUGAAGAACCUCGAUGUCAUUAAUUUGGUGUCUUGGGAAAUCAGGACUGUUACUUUGAAAAAAUUAGAGUGUUUAAAGCAAGCUCGCGCUUGAAUACAUUAGCAUGGAAUAAUGAAAUAGGACGUUUGAUUCUAUUUUGUUGGUUUCUAGGAUCGACGUAAUGAUUAAUAGGGAUAGUUGGGGGCAUUAGUAUUCAAUUGUCAGAGGUGAAAUUCUUGGAUUUAUUGAAGACUAACUACUGCGAAAGCAUUUGCCAAGGAUGUUUUCAUUAAUCAAGAACGAAAGUUAGGGGAUCGAAGACGAUCAGAUACCGUCGUAGUCUUAACCAUAAACUAUGCCGACUAGGGAUCGGAUGAUGUUAAUUUUUUAAUGACUCAUUCGGCGCCUUACG